AUUGAACGCUGGCGGCAGGCCUAACACAUGCAAGUCGAACGAGUGGCGGACGGGUGAGUAAUGUCUGGGAAACUGCCUGAUGGAGGGGGAUAACUACUGGGAACGGUAGCUAAUACCGCAUACUAUCAGAUGUGCCCAGAUGGGUGUAGCUGGUUGGUGGGGUAAUGGCUCACAAAGGAGACGAUCCCUCGCUGGUAUGAGAGGAUGACCGGCCACACUGGAACUGAGACACGGCCCAGACUCCUACGGGAGGCAGCAGUGGGGAAUAUUGCACAAUGGGCGCAAGCCUGAUGCAGCCAUGCCGCGUGUAUGAAGAAGGCCUUCGGAUUGUAAAGUACUUUCAGCGGGGAGGCGUUACCCACAGAAGAAGCACCGGCUAACUCCGUGCCAGCAGCCGCGGUAAUAC
rnacentral:rRNA from 1 species